rnacentral:rRNA from 1 species
UACGUAGGGACCAAGCGUUGUUCGGAUUUACUGGGCGUAAAGCGCGCGCAGGCGGCUAUCCAAGUCAGUGGUGAAAGCCCGGAGCUCAACUCCGGAACUGCCAUUGAAACUGUUUAGCUUGAGGACGAGAGAGGUGAGUGGAAUUCCCAGUGUAGAGGUGAAAUUCGUAGAUAUUGGGAAGAACACCGGUGGCGAAGGCGGCUCACUGGCUCGUAUCUGACGCUCAGGCGCGAUAGCGUGGGGAUCAAACAGG